AGAUACAAAGUGGUACUUUAGAAAAAAUUGAUUAAGUUUCUCCAGCUUGGAAAAAAAAUAUGUAAGGUAACAAGUAAUUUUGAUGGUAAAAUGUUUAAGGCUAACGUUAAAAAUGUAUACCACCAUUGCAAUACCUAAAAAUUUCCAGUCAUGUUUUAUUUAUUUUGAAGAGAAUCAACCAAAAUGUCUCCCAAGAAUUUUCUGUCACUUUUUUUUUAAAUGAGUGAGGGAAAUUGUUAGAAACUCAAAAGAAACUGUAUGCUGUUUUUUUCUUUUGAUAAGAAAAAUAAAACAUAAGCACCGACUUAAAAGGAUGCAAUCGGAUUUUCAAAUUGUUUGACUUCAGUCAUCAAUGUGUACCUACUUUAAUUGUUAGAUAUUUGCCUACCAUGUCUGAUUAUUCAUUUAUCUUUGCAGGGGUGUGAAGAUGCAAAGAAGCACCAGAGAUUUGGAAAGAUGGGAAAUUUUCAAGCUCAACAUGUCAAAAGUCAAAAAGAGAAAAAGAAAAAAAGUCAUCUCUUUUGAAAUUGGUGGCGCUAAUGCUGAUCUCAAACAAUCGAAUAAUCGCGUCAAGUUGUUCUUUUCUGCUUGGGUUACUGAGAGGCUUUAGCUUUGAAAGUGGGGGCAACAUUUGGCUCAGAACGCUAGUUGUCCCAUGUUUUUGAUAUUAAAAUACUACCAGUUUCAGGAAUGCUGCAGUUCCAACAACAGAUUCACAGGAAUUUCCCGCUUGCCAAGGGAAAUGGAAUGGGUGGUUCGUAGGACAGACUACACAACAUGAAAGUAAUACAGGUAAUCAUAGGAAGGAAAAAGGAGGCGUGGCCGGAGCUCAAAAGAUGGACCACUGAAAUAGGGGCAAGUGUUGCACUGGUACAGGAGCCGUAUGUCAGAAACAACGGAGAGCCACCCGAGUGGUGCAGCGGAGUAAAAAUCAUGUAUGAUAGGAGUAGAAAAGGGACAGGGCCGGUGAGAGCCGCUGUGUACUUGUUUGACUCUAGGAUUGAGGCAAUGGUAAAUAAUAGACACACAAAUAAGGAUUGUGCAACAGUAUAGCUGGAAUGGAAAGAUGAAAAGCACCUAAGGAAUAACCACCCAGGCCUAGGAGGAGCAUGGUUACGGUCAUAAUUGCAGGUGGUAACGACGUCGACAUGGAGAGGAGUGCCAAAGAAAUAGUGGACAGCAUGAAGAUAGAGGAGCUAAAAGCACAUGCUACAAGGAGAAAAGGAUUCAUCAUCUGGGUGGAACUGUUCCCGAGAUUUGAUCAAAGUGAGGAGUUUAAUAGGAAAGUGAGAGAUGUGAGCAAAA